CCAAAAAUGCCCCAAAUCCCGCCCCAAAAACCACAGAAUUGCCCCCAAAAUUUACCCCUGGGCAACACCAAAAUAAUUAAAAUUUGCACCAGGUUGUACCAAAAAUAUAAAAUCUCAUAAAUGCCCCAAAUCCCCAAGAAAAUCCACCCCAAAAUCCCCAAAAAAUGCCCCAAAUCCCGCCCCAAAAACCACAGAAAUGUCCCCAAAUUCCAGCCUGAACCCGAACCUGGGCAACACCAAAAUAAUGAAAAUUUGCACCAGGGUGUCCUAAAAAUCCCAAAAUCCCAUAAAACCCCAAAAUCCCAGACCUGGGAGUGUCCCCAAUUUGAGGAGGGGUCUCCAAUUUGGGGAGGGGUCCCAGGAAUCCCCAAAACCCCCCAAAACCCCCCAAACCCCAACCCUGGGCACAUCCCAAAUUCCCAACAAUUGUCCCCAAUUUCUGGGCAUUGUCCCCAAUUUCUGGACAUUGUCCCCAACUUUCAGAGAUUGUCCCCAAUUUUUGGGGUCUGUCCCCGAUUUGAGGAGGGGGUCCCCGAUUUGGGGAGGGGUCUCAGGGAUCCCUAAACCCCCCAAAAUCCCCCCAAAACCCCCCUCAAAUCCAACGCUGGGAUUGUCCCCAAUUUCUGGACAUUGUCCCCAACUUUCAGAGCUUGUCCCCAAUAUGGGGAGGGAGUCCCCGAUUUGAGGAGGGGUCCCCAAUUUGGGGAGGGGUCCCUGAGAUCCCCAAAUCCCCCCCAAAUCCCCCCAAAUCCCCCCCAAACCCAACCCUGGGCACAUCCCAAAUUCCCAACAAUUGUCCCCAAUUCCUGGACAUUGUCCCCAACUUUCGGGGUCUGUCCCCAUUUAGAGUAGGGGGUCCCCAAUUUGGGGAGGGGUCCCAGGAAUCCCUAAACCCCCCAAAAACCCCCAAGUCCCCCCAAAAACCCCCUCAAACCCCAACCCUGGGAUUGUCCCCAAUUUCUGGACAUUGUCCCCAACUUUCGGAGAUUGUCCCCAUUUAGGGUAGGGGGUCCCGAUUUGGGGAGGGGUCCCCGAUUUGAGGAGGGGUCUCAGGGAUCCCCAAAUCCCCCCCAAAUCCCCCCCAAACCCAACCCUGGGCCCAUCCCAAAUUCCCAACAAUUGUCCCCAAUUUCUGGACAUUGUCCCCAACUUUCAGAGAUUGUCCCCAACUUUUGGGGUCUGUCCCCAAUUUGGGGAGGGGGUCCCAGAUUUGAGGAGGGGUCCCUGAGGUCCCCAAAUUCCCCCCCAAAACCCCCCAAAUCCCCCCAAACCCAACCCUGGGCACAUCCCAAAUUCCUGACAGUUGUCCCCAAUUUCUGGACAUUGUCCCCAACUUUCAGAGCUUGUCCCCGAUUUGGGGAGGGGGUCCUGGAUUUGGGGAGGGGUCUCCAAUUUGAGGAGGGGUCCCAGAAAUCCCUAAACCCCCCAAAAUCCCCCCAAAAACCCCCUCAAACCCCAACCCUGGGAUUGUCCCCAAUUUCUGGACAUUGUCCCCAACUUUCAGAGAUUGUUCCCGAUUUGGGGAGGGGGUCCCAGAUUUGGGGAGGGGUCUCAGGGAUCCCCC
ensembl:lncRNA